rnacentral:rRNA from 1 species
CAAAAACAUUUUUUAAUGAUAUUUUAUUAAAUAAAACCUGCUCCUUGUGUAUAUAAAAAGCCGCAAAAAAUUUACUGUGCUAAGGUAGCAUAAUCACUUGUCUUCUAAUUAAAGACUAGAAUGAAAGGUCCUUCAAUUAAUAGUUAAUUCUAACUAUGAUAUUUUAAUUUUCAUUAAAAAUUAAAAUAUUUUUAUAAUUAUAAAAGACGAUAAGACCCUAUUGAACUUAACUGCAGUUAAGCUGGGGAAGCUUAAUAAUUAUUAUCUUAGUUAAUUUAAUUAAAUUAAUAUCCCCAACAGAACAUUAACCAAGUUACCAAAGGGAUAACAGCGUUAUAUUUUUUAAAAGUUCUUAUUAAUAAACUAAUAUACGACCUCGAUGUUGAAUUAAUUUUUCUUCCCCUUGCAAGAAAGGGUAAAGUAAGUCUGUUCGACUUUUAAAAAAUUACAUGAUCUGAGUUCAAACCGG